UACGAAGGGGGCUAGCGUUGCUCGGAAUCACUGGGCGUAAAGGGUGCGUAGGCGGGUCUUUAAGUCAGGGGUGAAAUCCUGGAGCUCAACUCCAGAACUGCCUUUGAUACUGAAGAUCUUGAGUCCGGGAGAGUGAGUGGAACUGCGAGUGUAGAGGUGAAAUUCGUAGAUAUUCGCAAGAACACCAGUGGCGAAGGCGGCUCACUGGCCCGGUACUGACGCUGAGGCACGAAAGCGUGGGGAGCAAACAGG
rnacentral:rRNA from 1 species